rnacentral:rRNA from 1 species
UACGGAGGGUGCAAACGUUGCUCGGAAUUAUUGGGCGUAAAGCGCACGUAGGCGGUUCGGUAAGUCGGAUGUGAAAGCCCUGGGCUCAACCGAGGAAGUGCAUUCGAAACUGCCAGACUUGAGUACGAGAGAGGGUUGCGGAAUUCCCGGUGUAGAGGUGAAAUUCGUAGAUAUCGGGAGGAACAUCAGUGGCGAAGGCGGCAACCUGGAUCGAUACUGACGCUGAGGUGCGAAAGCGUGGGGAGCAAACAGG